CCAGGCGCGAAAACUUUACCAUGCGGGAAACCGUGAUAAGGGGACACCGAGUGCCAGCAUCAUAUGCUGGCUGUCCAGGUGUGUAAAAUACACCUGUUAGCAAGGGCCGGGCAAGACCGGUGCCAGCCGCCGCGGUAACACCGGCGGCCCGAGUGGUGAUCGUGAUUAUUGGGUCUAAAGGGUCCGUAGCCGGUUUGGUCAGUCCUCCGGGAAAUCUGAUAGCUUAACUAUUAGGCUUUCGGAGGAUACUGCCAGACUUGGAACCGGGAGAGGUAAGAGGUACUACAGGGGUAGGAGUGAAAUCUUGUAAUCCCUGUGGGACCACCUGUGGCGAAGGCGUCUUACCAGAACGGGUUCGACGGUGAGGGACGAAAGCUGGGGGCACGAACCGGAUUAGAUACCCGGGUAGUCCCAGCCGUAAACGAUGCUCGCUAGGUGUCAGGCAUGGCGCGACCGUGUCUGGUGCCGCAGGGAAGCCGUGAAGCGAGCCACCUGGGAAGUACGGCCGCAAGGCUGAAACUUAAAGGAAUUGGCGGGGGAGCAC
rnacentral:rRNA from 1 species